GUUAAGCUAGUAGGGAGCAUUCCUGACAUCCUUCAAAUCUUCAGCAAUGAGCAUGGAAGAAGAGGAAAAGACAGUGACAAGACAUUACUUCCUACAUUAACUCACGAUAAGAGAUGAAGCCACUUGCAGCAGCAGAGCCGGUGGGGCAGACGACGCCUGUCCUGGUGGAGCUCGGCCACCCGUGUGCCUUACAGCUGCUGAGGAGGUGAGCCAUCCAUGCAGCAUGACAAGCCUACCUCAGUGUCCCCUGGCCAGCCCCACAGCUGCUGGAAAGCUGGGUAACUGUUGAUCUAACCCACUUUUCCCUCGCUGAGGAGCUGGCCCUGCCCUUCGCUGUCCCUCAGCUGCCUGGUGCUCCCCACGAGUGCCUUGCAAACGUGCCUUUGCAGGAAAUGAGAGGCCCCAGUGUGGUCUAGCUCCCACCCUGCUCCCUGCAGGCAGGACGGUAUUUGUAUGAAGAGCCCACACUUCUCAUCCACGUGGACAAAACUGAAUUUUGCCACACCACAGCUGAAGGGACUCGCCUGGGGAGCAGUAGAGGCGUUGGUGGAGAGCUGGGGUGGCACAGCGGCAUAGGGAGAGCCAGGAAUGUGGGAUCUGGGGAGGGAGGCAGUGGAAGAGCCAGCAGUGUGGUCCCCCAGAUGGAGUUAGCCACCCAGGGAAGGAGAAAGAAGAUGAUUGCUGAUCAUCCUCGCCACUCCUGCAGCUGCCCCAUGCAAACAGUGGCCUCAAACAGCCUUUCCCUCUCCCCACCCUCAAAACGCAACCACUGCCCCAUCCCUCCCUCUCCCUGAGAGGAGAGCUGUCAGUUGUGGUCUCUGAGGGAAAGGCACUGCCCCAGCCAGCCUGGGAUAAAGCUACAGAGUGGAGAAUCAAAGCCCAGAUCCAGGCAGAUACUUUGUGGUAACCUAAGAUCCAAUGGAAAUCUGGGGAAAUUUUUCAAAGGAGCCAGAGAAUACUCCCAGGUAGGUGCUGUUGCUCCAUCCUGACCUGCUGACCCACGGGGGAGGCUGCUGCUGUGUUCACACACACACAGGUGGGCCAAACCAGCCGAAACAGGGUGGAAAUAGCCAAGCCACUGGUUCCCAGCGCUGGCUGCAAAGUCCUCACACACAGCAGGUAGGACGGGACGUGCCAACAGCCCCAAGCCUGCGAGCACGGAGCAGCUCCACGGAGAGCUGAAGGACCACAAGACCAGGAGCUGACUCAGAGCACAGCAAGGAGGCAUCUCCCCAGAGUGGGAUGAGAUGGGAGCAGUAGCUGAACUUCAUCACACAGCUUCUGAUUACAGCUGCAGCUCCAGGACCAGAGAGAGGUCAUGCUGUCUUGCUUUCUGCUGUUUUAAAAUCAGAAUGGAAAACCAUGGGACACUUUUGGGGCAGACUUCACUGUGCAAUAACAGCACUGACGUUGCUAAAUGUCACGAAGUGAAGCUGAUGAAGUUGCUUCAUGUGCUUGUUCCAGUGUCCCUUUGGAGCUGGAGUCCCUGUGUUCACAGGCAUCAUCCAGGUUCAUCAGACAGCCAAAUCUUCAGCGUGGCAAAGUUGUUCCCAGUCAUUUCUCUGUUUAUUUUCAAUUUCCCAUCCUAUCAGCUCGAACCAAGGUGGGAGGAGGUAAAGCAACUAGAAGGGGCAGUUUUUAAGGUUUCAACUGAGUAGAAGGUAAGAAAAUAUAAUAAAUUUUAUUUCAUGUCUUCUUGCCAAUUGUUAGAAAUGUGCAGUCCAUAUGAAUUCAUAUAACAAGGAGGGAAUGUUGGGAAAACCAAUAAAGAUUUUGUGGUCUUAACUAUAAUGAAUGUAGUUUGAUAUAGAGUCUGUUUUUCACUGCAUGGCAAAAUGAAUCAUAAAAUACUGGACCUUGAAACUCCUGCAUUUUUUAACAAUAGCCUGGGGACAGUUUACAGUGUAAUGAAUUGUAAUUAACCCACCUUCAAAAUCUUUUAUGAGUAUUUUGCCAAUUAGCUUCGCAUGCUUGCUAAUGACUCAUGGCCAGCGCAUGUCUUUGCAGAGCCGGGUUUUACAGAGCAGGGUUUUACAGCGCACGCCGGCCUGUUCAGUCAGCGCAGGGACGCAGGACGGGGAGGCAGGCACAGACAGAGAAACCCAAAGAGCAAAGUAUUUUGCAAAAGCUGUGUGGUUGGAAGGUCUUUGAACUGCUUAACACCAGGAGGAGAUGAAAAGCUCACAGGACAGGUUGUUCUCUGGAGGCUCUCGGCCCAAUCUGCAGGAGCUGAGGCAGUUCGGGUGCAUUUGGGGGGUGGACUGAGGGAGGAAACAUUCAGGUACUUUUCAACUAUGCAACCAAACCAUUUGUCACUUGUCUAGACGCAUGUUUCAGAAGGGAAUAAAAUAAAAGAAAGAAAAA